rnacentral:rRNA from 1 species
CCGAAAGAUGGUGAACUAUGCCUGAGUAGGGCAAAGUCAGAGGAAACUCUGAUGGAGGCUCGAAGGGGUUCUGACGUGCAAAUCGAUCUUCAAACUUGGGUAUAGGGGCGAAAGACUAAUCGAACCAUCGAGUAGCUGGUUCCCUCCGAAGUUUCCCUCAGGAUAGCUGGAACUUAUGAAGAAGUAGUUUUAUCAGGUAAAGCGAAUGAUUAGAGGCUUUGGGGAAGAAACUUCCUCGACCUAUUCUCAAACUUUAAAUAGGUAAGAUUUUGAAGGAUACUUAAGUGAUCUUUCAAUAUUUUGAAUAUAAAGUUCUUAGUGGGCCAUUUUUGGUAAGCAGAACUGGCGAUGUGGGAUGAACCGAACGUUAAGUUAAAGUGCCAAAUAAUACGCUCAUGAGAUACCAUAAAAGGUGUUGGUUCAUUUUGACAGCAGGACGGUGGCCAUGGAGUCGGAACCGCUAAGGAGUGUGUAACAACUCACCUGCCGAAUGAACUAGCCCUGAAAAUGGAUGGCG